CCCUUAGAUGUCCUGGGCCGCACGCGCGCUACACUGAUGCAUGCAACGAGUUUAUGACCUUGGCCUGAAAGGUCUGGGUAAUCUUUUGAACGUGCAUCGUGAUAGGGAUAGAUUAUUGCAAUUGUUAAUCUUGAACGAGGAAUUCCUAGUGAACGCGAGUCAUCAGCUCGCAUUGAUUACGUCCCUGCCCUUUGUACACACCGCCCGUCGCACCUACCGAUUGAAUGGUUCGGUGAAGAUCUCGGACUUCGAUAUUUAUUCUUUAUUGAGUUUAUAUUGUGGGAAGUUAUCUAAACCUCAUCAUUUAGAGGAAGGUGAAGUCGUAACA
rnacentral:rRNA from 1 species